rnacentral:rRNA from 1 species
AACGAACGCUGGCGGCAGGCCUAACACAUGCAAGUCGAACGCUCCAGCAAUGGAGAGUGGCAGACGGGUGAGUAACGCGUGGGAACCUUCCCUAUGGUUCGGAAUAGCCCAGGGAAACUUGGGGUAAUACCGAAUAAGCCCUUCGGGGGAAAGAUUUAUCGCCAUUGGAUGGGCCCGCGUCGGAUUAGCUAGUUGGUGGGGUAACGGCCUACCAAGGCGACGAUCCGUAGCUGGUCUGAGAGGAUGAUCAGCCACACUGGGACUGAGACACGGCCCAGACUCCUACGGGAGGCAGCAGUGGGGAAUAUUGGACAAUGGGCGCAAGCCUGAUCCAGCCAUGCCGCGUGAGUGACGAAGGCCUUAGGGUUGUAAAGCUCUUUUGGCGGGGAAGAUAAUGACGGUACCCGCAGAAUAAGCUCCGGCUAACUUCGUGCCAGCAGCCGCCGUAAAAC